rnacentral:rRNA from 1 species
GACGAACGCUGGCGGCGUGCUUAACACAUGCAAGUCGAACGGAAAGGCCCUGCUUUUGUGGGGUGCUCGAGUGGCGAACGGGUGAGUAACACGUGAGUAACCUGCCCUUGACUUUGGUAUAACUUCAGGAAACUGGGGCUAAUACCGGAUAGGAGCUCCUGCUGCAUGGUGGGGGUUGGAAAGUUUCGGCGGUUGGGGAUGGACUCGCGGCUUAUCAGCUAGUUGGUGGGGUAGUGGCUUACCAAGGCUUUGACGGGUAGCCGGCCUGAGAGGGUGACCGGCGACAUUGGGACUGAGGGACGGCGCAGACUCCUAUGGGAGGCAGCAGUGGGGAAUAUGGCACAAUGGGCGGAAGCCUGAUGCAGCAACGCCGCGUGCGGGAUGACGGCCUUCGGGUUGUAAACCGCUUUCGCCUGUGACGAAGCGUGAGUGACGGUAAUGGGUAAAGAAGCACCGGCUAACUACGUG